GUCCAAUGGCUUCUUUUGACCAGCAUGGUUAACCAGUAUUUGCUGUCCUCUGUCGAAAGAGGAGGUCGAUGACAGUCAGUGUUUACCUCUGGCUGUUGUGCCCUCGGAAAACAAUUCAGAGGAACUUGUAGGGAUGGAGUCUGAAUCGCAGCAGUGGAAGUGAUGCAACGGGGACACUGCGAAGCACGUGAGCGACGAGGCAAAGGCUCUGUGUGAACCUGAUUGGAGUGAUAUUUGAAGUGAUCUAAGAAUACUUCAGCUGUAUUGUCAAG
rnacentral:lncRNA from 1 species